GCAAUGAUGUAUAAUAUUAAGAACUUGUAUUGGUUCAUGGAUUAUGGAUAAGUUAUAUGUGUGAGUUAGAUUUUUGCUUAUUCGUGUGAAACGGAAAUUAUUUUUGCACGUGGGUUGAUUGUAGCGUUGUACAUGAGUAGGUUGAUCCAUGUUUAUAGGUUGAAUAAGAGAACUUAGAUGCUAAAUCCAAACAACCUUUAAACAUUAUUAUACCCUUAAACCAAAUAUAGGCUGUUUGGUAGGUUAAGCUGUUGCAGGAAAACUU
rnacentral:lncRNA from 1 species